rnacentral:rRNA from 1 species
AGUGAACGCUGGCGGUAGGCCUAACACAUGCAAGUCGAACGGCAGCACAGUAAGAGCUUGCUCUUACGGGUGGCGAGUGGCGGACGGGUGAGGAAUACAUCGGAAUCUACUUUUUCGUGGGGGAUAACGUAGGGAAACUUACGCUAAUACCGCAUACGACCUACGGGUGAAAGCAGGGGAUCUUCGGACCUUGCGCGAUUGAAUGAGCCGAUGUCGGAUUAGCUAGUUGGCGGGGUAAAGGCCCACCAAGGCGACGAUCCGUAGCUGGUCUGAGAGGAUGAUCAGCCACACUGGAACUGAGAAACGGUCCAGACUCCUAAGGGAGGCAGCAAGGGGGAAUAUUGGACAAUGGGCGCAAGCCUGGUCCAGCCAUACCGCGUGGGUGAAGAAGGCCUUCGGGUUUUAAAGCCCUUUUGUUGGGAAAGAAAAGCAGCAGGUUAAUACCCCGCUGUUCUGACGGUACCCAAAGAAUAAGCACCGGCUAACUUCGUG